AUUCUGUUUCAGGGCGAGGUGCGAUUCCUCACUGGCGGUGAUCCGGCUCGGCUCCGCGCCGAUGCCGCAAGUCCGCGACCCCGAAACGGCGCAUCCGGGCACCGCGCCCGACCGCGCUGCUUCGGGCUGAUUCCGGUGGGAUCCCGGAACCAACGGUAUAGUCCGGAUGGAAGAGGCAGACG
rnacentral:ncRNA from 2 species